UACGUAGGGGGCAAGCGUUGUCCGGAAUCAUUGGGCGUAAAGCGCACGUAGGCGGCCCGGUAAGUCCGUUGUGAAAGUCAGGGGCUCAACCUCUGGAGGCCAAUGGAUACUGCCGGGCUAGAGUCCGGAAGAGGCGAGUGGAAUUCCUGGUGUAGCGGUGGAAUGCGCAGAUAUCAAGAGGAACACCUGCGGCGAAGGCGGGUUGCUGGGCCGACACUGACGCUGAAGCGCGAAAGCUAGGGGAGCGAACGGG
rnacentral:rRNA from 1 species